rnacentral:rRNA from 1 species
GUCCGGUUGAUCCUGCCGGCGGUCACCGCUCUUGGAAUCCGAUUAAGCCAUGUGAGUCGAGAGGGUUCGGCCCUCGGCAAACUGCUCAGUAACACGUGGAUAACCUAACCUAAGGUGGGAGAUAAUCUCGGAAAACUGAGGCUAAUACCCCAUAGACCUUGAUGACUGGAAUGUUUUGAGGUUGAAAGUUACGACGCCUUAGGAUGGGUCUGCGGCCUAUCAGGUUGUAGUUAGUGUAAAGGACUAACUAGCCGACGACGGGUACGGGCCAUGGGAGUGGUUGCCCGGAGAUGGAUCUCUGAGACACGAGUCCAGGCCCUACGGGGCGCAGCAGGCGCGAAAACUUUGCAAUGCGCGAAAGCGCGACAAGGGGAUUCCAAGUGCAUGCACUAAGUGUAUGCUUUUCGUGAGUGUAAAAAGCUCACGGAAUAAGGGCUGGGUAAGACUGGUGCCAGCCGCCGCGGUAACACCAGCGGCUCGAGUGGUGGCCUUUUUUAUUGAGCUUAAAGCGUCCGUAGCCGGUCCAGUAAAUCUCUGGGUAAAUCGAACGGCUUAACCGUUCGACUUCCAGAGACACUGUUGGACUUGGGGCCGGGAGAGGCCAGAGGGUACUCUCGGGGUAGAAGUAAAAUUCUGUAAUCCCGAUAGGACCACCAGUGGCGAAGGCGUCUGGCUAGAACGGACUCGACGGUGAGGGACGAAGCCCGUGGGGCGCGAACCGGAUUAGAUACCCGGGUAGUCCAGGGUGUAAACGAUGCGGGCUUGGGUGUCGACAGUCUUACGCGGGCAGUCGGUGCCGUAGAGAAAUUGUUAAGCCCGCCGCUUGGGGAGUACGGCCGCAAGGCUGAAACUUAAAGGAAUUGGCGGGGAAGCACC